ACGGAAGGCAGCAGUCGGGAAUAUUGCACAAUGGGGGAAACCCUGAUGCAGUGACGCCGCGUAUAGGAAGAAGGUUUUCGGAUUGUAAACUAUUGUCUAUAGGGAAGAAAAAUGACGGUACCUAUGGAGGAAGGUCCGGCUAACUACGUGCCAGCAGCCGCGGUAAUACGUAGGGACCGAGCGUUGUCCGGAUUUAUUGGGUGUAAAGGGUGCGUAGACGGAAAAUUAAGUUGGUUGUGAAAUCCCCGGGCUCAACUUGGGAACUGCAACCAAAACUGAUUUUCUUGAGUGUAGGAGAGGAAAGUGGAAUUCCUAGUGUAGCGGUGAAAUGCGUAGAGAUUAGGAGGAACACCAGUGGCGAAGGCGACUUUCUGGACUAUAACUGACGUUGAGGCACGAAAGUGUGGGGAGCAAACAGGAUUAGAUACCCUGGUA
rnacentral:rRNA from 1 species